GCCCUCGUAGCUCAGUGGAUAGAGCUGGGGCGUCCUAAGCCCUGAGUCGGGGGUUCGAAUCCCUCCGAGGGCGCCA
rnacentral:tRNA from 2 species